AGCUCAAAACAGAGAAGCUGCAAGAAAGAGCCGACUGAGGAAGAAGGCUUAUAUUCAACAGCUAGAGUCUAGUAGAAUCAAGCUCUCUCAGCUUGAACAAGACCUCCAUAGAGCACGUUCCCAGGGAUUGUUUCUAGGUGGUUGUGGUGGUGUAAUGGGUGGCAAUAUCAGCUCAGGAGCUGCAAUAUUUGACAUGGAGUAUGCGCGGUGGCUAGACGAGGACCACCGUUUGAUGGCGGAGCUGCGGGCGGCGUUGCAAGGGCAUCUCCCAGACGGGGAUCUCCGAGCAAUAGUAGAGAGUUACAUCUCUCACUACGACGAGAUAUUUCACCUGAAAGGCG
rnacentral:misc_RNA from 1 species